rnacentral:misc_RNA from 1 species
UAACAUUUUAUCAUAGUCAAUAGAAAUAAACCCUGGUCUGGAAAAGCUAUUGUCGUAUGUUAUUGUUCGCUUUUUUUUAAGUCACGUGAUCAAAUCUAGUGCAAAACAAACAAAACUUUUAUAAUGAAAGUUACGAAUUAAUAAAGAUUUUGAUGUUUAUUUUAAAUUAAUAUAUUAAAAUUAUUAUUUUUCUUUAUUAUUAAAAUAAUAUUGGUUCCUUUCUAUUGUCUAUGGUUUAAAAACUUUAUUCAAUUUAAAAUGUUUCUUUAUAUUCUAUAUUUAAAAAAAGUCUAAAAGAUAAAUCCAAAAUGCCAGGUUCAAAUUGUUGUCUACCAGGAUGUACAGUUUCAAGAUCUAUUAAGCACAAAGAUAUCACCUUAUUCAGAAUUCCUAUGAGGACAGGAGACUUUUAUAAAAAAUGGAGACAGAGAUUGUUAGCUAUUAUCACUCAGUAUAGAGACUUUGACAAAGAUUUGAAAGAAAGACUCUCAAAGGGCAAUAUUUAUAUAUGUGAGAAUCAUUUUUUAGCAGAAGAUAUUGAAUUGACAAAAACUGGAAGGAAAUCAUUACGCUUAGAGGCUUUACCAACUGUUAACCUACCCAUAAAAUCACAUGAAAAAGAAAAAAAGGUACCUAGAAGACACAUAAGUAUUGUAAAAGAUAUUGUCCCACAGAAGCGAAUAAAUUAUUCAAACUUAAUUGAUUUACAGAAAAAAACCUAAAAGUUAAAACUUAGUGGAUGGGAGAUGACAUGUAAUGAAAACAAUAUCAAAUUUAAAAAGUUAUUGCCUUUGUAUUUGUUACCUAAGUAUGAAGUUGUAGUAGAUGACAGUUUAGCGUUCACCAUUAUUGUAUUUGGGUGGCUCUUGCCAGAUACUCACUUAAUCUAUAAAUUAUACUCACGAUCAAUGCUGAACACUACAGUUACCGAACUUUUAUGCAAAAUAUGUACAUUAAGAUUUUGUUCUGGUAUUAUAGAAAACAUCAGAAAUAUAAAUAAUGAUGAUUUUGUUGAUCAUAUUGUUCCAAUGGAAUUUGAUUUAGAAAGUGCAAGUACAGAUGGUAUGCGUGUAUCAAAUGAAAGGUUUAAAAGAGCAAAAUCAUGUAUUAUAUUACAUACUAGUGAGUCUGAUAAUAUAAAUUCUGUUUGUUCAUUUUGUACCCACACACUAAAAAAGAACAAAAUGAUUAAAAUAAAAAAACAACAUCAGUUAGCCACACCUGCUCUUCGAAAAGCUCCACUUAGUAAAACAAAUCCUGUUCGCGUUCUAUUAGCAUUAAAACAAGAACAUUUAAGAUGUGCCCAGCUAACAAGUGAUUUAGAAAAAAUAAAUUUUCAAAUAGACUCUAAAGGUAUUACUAUUGAUGAUGGGUUUGUUGAUGAUUUAAAUCAAAUAAUGAGUAGUAACUACGAAAAAGCUACUCCCUUUAUGAAAUUAUUUUGGGACCAGCAAAAGAAAAUGUGUAAUAAAAAUUUUGGCUCAAUAAAGUAUCACCCUAUGAUAAUACGGUUUUGCCUCUCACUUGCCUCAAAGUCGGCCUCAGCUUAUGAUGAGUUGCGCUCAUCAAAUGUACUAACAUUACCAAGUCGCAGAACUCUAAGAGAUUAUAAGAACUUCAUUCGACCGAAAGCUGGAUUAAAUCCAUGUUCUAGUCUACUUCAUUCGAGGUAUUGCUUCUGACUUAAAGUUUGCUUUAUGUCACUUUGCUACUAAAGGUCUUACCUCGUUUCAACUAAUGCCAACUUUCUGGGAAGCAGUUGGAGUUUUAGAACUGACAUGUAAAUUAUAUGUUAUAGCUGCAGUAUCGGAUGGUGCAGCACCCAACAGAAAGUUCUAUCGAAUGCAUAGUAUGUUUGAUGACAAAUUAGAUUGUAAUGUUGUUCAUCGAUGCCUUAAUAUUUAUGCCCCUGAACGGUACUUAUGGUUUUUUGCUGAUGCUCCCCAUCUCAUCAAAACAGCAAGGAACUGUUUAUAUCACUCAGGGGAUGGAAGGGGUACACGAAGUCUUUGGAAUGAUGGACAACAAUUGAUUUGGUACCAUAUCACAAGAAUAGUCAAUGACGAAAUGAAAAAUGGGUUAAAAAUUAUACCAAAGUUAACACAGGAUCAUAUUAAACUUAGUGCUUAUUCUGUUAUGAAUGUAAGACUUGCAGCCCAGGUUUUAAGUAGUAGUGUCAGUAACAUUUUAAAAAAUUAUUACCCUGAUGAUACAAAUGGAACUGCAAAAUUUUGUGAAAUGUUAGAUAGUUUUUUUGAUUGCUUAAAUGAAACAGCAGUGAAGGGAUAAUGAAACGCAAACCAUUUUUAUUACCAUACACGGAUGUUAAUGACGAGCGUUUGACAUGGCUACAGAAUACAUUUUUAUGCUAUCUAGAAAAAUGGAAAGAGUGUAUUAUUAAUCGUCCUGGUAACUUUUAUGAAGAAUGUU